rnacentral:rRNA from 1 species
GAUGAACGCUGGCGGCGUGCCUAAUACAUGCAAGUCGAGCGAACGGACGAGAAGCUUGCUUCUCUGAUGUUAGCGGCGGACGGGUGAGUAACACGUGGAUAACCUACCUAUAAGACUGGGAUAACUUCGGGAAACCGGAGCUACUACCGGAUGAUAUUUUGAACCGCAUGGUUCAAAAGUGAAAGACGGUCUUGCUGUCACUUAUAGAUGGAUCCGCGCUGCAUUAGCUAGUUGGUAAGGUAACGGCUUACCAAGGCAACGAUGCAUAGCCGACCUGAGAGGGUGAUCGGCCACACUGGAACUGAGACACGGUCCAGACUCCUACGGGAGGCAGCAGUAGGGAAUCUUCCGCAAUGGGCGAAAGCCUGACGGAGCAACGCCGCGUGAGUGAUGAAGGUCUUCGGAUCGUAAAACUCUGUUAUUAGGGAAGAACAGAUGUGUAAGUAACUGUGCACAUCUUGACGGUACCUAAUCAGAAAGCCACGGCUAACUACGUG